AUGACCCCCAGCCUGGCCAUCGCCUUCCUCCUGCUGCUCCCCGCGGGUCAGCCUGGUGCUGUCUUUGCGGGGAUGAAGAAACCCGGAGGGACCCUCAGACUGACCUGCACCGUGUCCGGAUUCUCUCUCACUAGCGAGGGGGUGCACUGGGCCCGCCAGCCCGCGGGGAAAGGGCUGGACUGGGUCGGAGUUAUCUGGCACACCGGAAAUACUGCUUACAGCGAUGCGCUCAGAAACCGCCUCAGCAUCAGCAGAGACACCCCCAAAAGCCACGUGUUCCUGCAGCUGACCGGCCUGCAGCCCGCAGACACCUCCGUGUACCACUGUGCCACAGACACACAGUGA